rnacentral:tRNA from 2 species
AAGACCUUAAGUUAAAUAAACUCGUAGCCUUCAAAGCUACAAAUAAAGGGCCAACCUUUAGGCCUUG